GGGAAGUGAUUCUUGUGUGUGUGUGCCAAAGUCCUUAAUAAGGUACGGGUAGAAAAAAAAAAGAGUGAAAAGAAAAAAGUUUGUUAAAAAAGGGUCCAAAAUAUUGAAUUCGGCCCUAAGUGUUGCUUGAAUCUUCCAUUUGUGUUUAAAAGUUAAUUUCUGCAUUAUUAAGUGAAUUCCAAGUGUCUAUUUCAUUACUUUGCUUGUUAUCGCUUUAAGAACGUUUGCUAUCCCUAUCCUUUCUUUGUUAGCCAUUACCCCCAAGCCCCGUUACAACCCUUGACUUCAAUCUUGAGUGUUUUGUGUUUCAAUUCGUGGAGUUUGAAAUUGGUAUGAGCAUAUAGUGUCACUGGUUCUCGCAUCUAAGUAGUAGCAUUCCAUUCAUGAGAUCAUAUCUAAACAUGCUUAUUAACUCCAAAAAUUGCUUUCUUUGUUAUAACAUAUGUGAGUACUAGUCUUCCAUGUUUACAUCAAUCUGCUCACAUAUAACUAGUGUAGGGUGUGUAGUCAGAAAAUGUGUGUGAAAAUAAAGAGUAUCUUGUAAGGAAUUGAGCAAAUUCUCUAAGGCAUGUUACUACAUUCAAAAUAUCGUUUUAAUUGGUUAAUUGUGAACUAGUAAGUGGUGACUGUAAUUAAGUAUGUGCUCAAGUGUGAAGAUAACUAAAAGCUGUGGGAAUGAUGAUUUUUAACAGGUCAUGUGCAUUGGAAAUCCCUGAGGCAAAUGUUGGAAGGUUAAGUUGUGUUCUGUUUGUUUUGAUUCGUUUGUUUUUUUUGUU
rnacentral:lncRNA from 1 species